rnacentral:rRNA from 1 species
AGAUAAUUUGCCCUUAGGUGGAGGAUACCCUCGGGAAACUGAGAAUAAUACUCCAUAGAUCUAGACUGCUGGAAUGCUUUUAGAUCGAAAGAUUUAUCGCCUAAGGAUAAGUCUGCGGACUAUCAGGUUGUAGUCAGGGUAAAGACCUGACUAGCCUACGACGGAUACGGGUAGUGAGAGCUUUAGCCCGGAGAUGAUAUCUGAGACACGAUAUCAGGCCCUACGGGGCGCAGCAGGCGCGAAAACUUCGCACUGUGCGAAAGCACGACGAGGGAAUCCCAAGUGCUGGCUCGUAAGAGUCAGCUGUUUCUCUGUCUAAAACGCAGGGAGAGUAAGAGCUGGGUAAGACGGGUGCCAGCCGCCGCGGUAAUACCUGCAGCUCAAGUGGUGGCCGCUAUUAUUGGGCCUAAAACGUCCGUAGCCGGUUCUAUAAAUGCCUGGGUAAAUCGUACGGCUUAACCGUACGAAUUCCGGGUAGACUGUUCAACUUGGGACCGGGAGAGGCUAGAGGUACUCCUGGGGUAGAGGUGAAAUUCUGUAAUCCUAGGGGGACCACCAGUGGCGAAGGCGUCUAGCUAGAACGGGUCUGACGGUGAGGGACGAAGCCCUGGGGAGCAAACGGGAUUAGAUACCCCGGUAGUCCAGGGUGUAAACGCUGCUCGCUUGAUGUUAGUCGGGCUCCGAGCCCAACUAGUGUCGGAGAGAAGUUGUUAAGCGAGCUGCCUGGGGAGUACGGUCGCAAGACUGAAACUUAA